CCCGAAAUAAAAAGAUUUAUUUUAAUAUGUUUAUUUUUGUGACAAAACAAUUUUUAAUAUUAAAAUAGAGGUGAUAUGCUAUUCAAUUUUUUAUAUCUGGUUAUUUAAUAGAUAAAUUUAAUUUAGGAUAUAAUUGUUAUUAAUUAAUUUAAUUAUUAAUUAUUUUUAUAUCUAAUAUUCUUGGGGAUAAGCUCAGGUUUAUUAUUAUAAUAAUGUUAUUUUAUUAAUUUUUUGUAGGCUUAACAACAGCCAUCCUUCAUUUCGUUAUAGUUUAUUUUUAAUAUUUUUAAUUUAUUUUUAUUUAAUUUUUUAUUAAAUUGAUUUAUAUAAUUAUAUUAUAUAUAUAAUAAUGAUAAAAUUAGUAUUUUUAAAAAUUAAAAUAUAGGAAUUCGGCAAAUAUUAUUUCCGCCUGUUUAACAAAAACAUGUCCUUUUGUUAUAUAUAUAAGGUCUGACCUGCCCAAUGAUUUUCAAUGGCCGCGGUAUUUUAACCGUGCAAAGGUAGCAUAAUCACUUGUCUUUUAAUUGGAGGCUAGAAUGAACGGUUGGACGAGAUAUAUUCUUUCUUUAUUUUAAAAAAAUGAAUUUAAUUUUUGAGUUAAAAAGCUCAAAUUUUAUUAUAGGACGAGAAGACCCUAUAGAACUUUAUUUUUAUGUAUAAGUUUUUAAUUUUGAUGAUUAUUUAAUUACUUAUAUUUAAAAAUUUUGUUGGGGUGACAGGAAAAUAUUUUUAACUUUUCUUUUUUUAUUCAUAAAUUAAUGUACUUUUGAUCCAAUAUUUUUGAUUAUAAGAUUAAGUUACCUUAGGGAUAACAGCGUAAUUCUUUUGGAGAGUUCUUAUCGAUAAAGGAGUUUGCGACCUCGAUGUUGAAUUAAGAUUAGUAAUGGGUGCAGAAUUUCAUUUACUAGGUCUGUUCGACCUUUAAAUUCUUACAUGAUUUGAGUUCAAACCGGCGUGAGCCAGGUUGGUUUCUAUCCUUAAUUUUUUAUAAUAUCUUAGUACGAAAGGACCAGAUAUU
rnacentral:rRNA from 1 species